AGACGGGACCGCACAAGCGUGGAUGAUGUGGAUUAAUUCGAUGCAACGCGAAAACCUUACCUACCCUUGACAUGUCUGGAACCUUGGUGAGAGCCGAGGGUGCCUUCGGGAGCCAGAACACAGGUGCUGCAUGGCUGUCGUCAGCUCGUGUCGUGAGAUGUUGGGUUAAGUCCCGCAACGAGCGCAACCCUUGUCACUAGUUGCCAUCAUUUAGUUGGGCACUCUAGUGAGACUGCCGGUGACAAACCGGAGGAAGGUGGGGAUGACGUCAAGUCCUCAUGGCCCUUAUGGGUAGGGCUUCACACGUCAUACAAUGGUCGGUACAGAGGGUUGCCAAGCCGCGAGGUGGAGCCAAUCCCAUAAAGCCAUUCGUAGUCCGGAUCGCAGUCUGCAACUCGACUGCGUGAAGUCGGAAUCGCUAGUAAUCGUGGAUCAGAAUGUCACGGUGAAUACGUUCCCGGGUCUU
rnacentral:rRNA from 1 species